GUGGGGAAUCUUGCGCAAUGGGCGAAAGCCUGACGCAGCCAUGCCGCGUGAAUGAUGAAGGUCUUAGGAUUGUAAAAUUCUUUCACCGGGGACGAUAAUGACGGUACCCGGAGAAGAAGCCCCGGCUAACUUCGUGCCAGCAGCCGCGGUAAUACGAAGGGGGCUAGCGUUGCUCGGAAUUACUGGGCGUAAAGGGCGCGUAGGCGGAUCGUUAAGUCAGGGGUGAAAUCCCAGAGCUCAACUCUGGAACUGCGCCUGGUACUGGCGAUCUUGAGUGUGAGAGAGGUAUGUGGAACUCCGAGUGUAGAGGUGAAAUUCGUAGAUAUUCGGAAGAACACCAGUGGCGAAGGCGACUCACUGGCCCAAUACUGACGCUGAGGCGCGAAAGCGUGGGGAGCAAACAGGAUUAGAAACCCCUGUAGUCC
rnacentral:rRNA from 1 species